rnacentral:rRNA from 1 species
CACUCCUACGGGAGGCAGCAGUGGGGAAUAUUGCACAAUGGGCGCAAGCCUGAUGCAGCCAUGCCGCGUGUAUGAAGAAGGCCUUCGGGUUGUAAAGUAUUUCAGCAGUGAGGAAGGUGGGUAUGUUAAUAGCAUACUCAUUUGACGUUAGCUGCAGAAGAAGCACCGGCUAACUCCGUGCCAGCGGCCGCGGUAAUACGGAGGGUGCGAGCGUUAAUCGGAAUUACUGGGCGUAAAGCGCAUGCAGGUGGUUUGUUAAGUCAGAUGUGAAAGCCCGGGGCUCAACCUCGGAAUUGCAUUUGAAACUGGCAAACUAGAGUACUGUAGAGGGGGUAGAAUUUCAGGUGUAGCGGUGAAAUGCGUAGAGAUCUGAAGGAAUACCGGUGGCGAAGGCGGCCCCCUGGACAGAUACUGACACUCAGAUGCGAAAGCGUGGGGAGCAAACAGGAUUAGAUACCCUGGUAG